rnacentral:rRNA from 1 species
CCUACGGGUGGCAGCAGUGGGGAAUAUUGCACAAUGGGGGGAACCCUGAUGCAGCAACGCCGCGUGAGUGCAGAAGUAUUUCGGUAUGUAAAGCUCUGUCAGCAGGGAAGCAGAUGCCGGUUCCUGAGUAAGCAGCCCCUGCUAACUACGUACCAGCAGCCGCCGUAAUACGUAGGGGGCACGCGUUCUACGGUUUUUAUGUGGGGAAAGGGAUCGGAGACGGUGAGACAAGUCUGAAGUGAAAGCCCGGGGCUCAACCUCGGGACUGCAGUGGAAACUGCCUGACGGGAGUGCUGGAGAGGCAAGCGGAAUUCCUAGUGUAGCGGUGAAAUGCGUAGAUAUUAGGAAGAACACCAGUGGCGAAGGCGGCUUGCUGGACAGUAACUGACGUUGAGGCUCGAAAGCGUGGGGAGCAAACAGGAUUAGAUACCCGUGUAGUC